ACACUCCUACGGGAGGCAGCAGUGGGGAAUAUUGCACAAUGGGCGCAAGCCUGAUGCAGCCAUGCCGCGUGUAUGAAGAAGGCCUUCGGGUUGAAAAGUACUUUCAGCGGGGAGGAAGGCAAUACGGUUAAUAACCGUGUUGAUUGACGUUACUCGCAGAAGAAGCACCGGCUAACUCCGUGCCAGCAGCCGCGGUAAUACGGAGGGUGCAAGCGUUAAUCGGAAUUACUGGGCGUAAAGCGCACGCAGGCGGUCUGUCAAGUCGGAUGUGAAAUCCCCGGGCUCAACCUGGGAACUGCAUUCGAAACUGGCAGGCUUGAGUCUUGUAGAGGGGGGUAGAAUUCCAGGUGUAGCGGUGAAAUGCGUAGAGAUCUGGAGGAAUACCGGUGGCGAAGGCGGCCCCCUGGACAAAGACUGACGCUCAGGUGCGAAAGCGUGGGGAGCAAACAGGAUUAGAAACCCUAGUAGUCCCAUG
rnacentral:rRNA from 1 species